rnacentral:rRNA from 1 species
CCUACGGGAGGCAGCAGUGAGGAAUAUUGGUCAAUGGGCGAGAGCCUGAACCAGCCAAGUCGCGUGAAGGAUGACGGCCCUACGGGUUGUAAACUUCUUUUGUCAGGGAGCAAUUGGGUCCACGCGUGGGCUUAGCGAGAGUACCUGAAGAAAAAGCAUCGGCUAACUCCGUGCCAGCAGCCGCGGUAAUACGGAGGAUGCGAGGGUUAUCCGGAUUUAUUGGGUUUAAAGGGUGCGUAGGCGGAAUAUCAAGUCAGCGGUAAAACUUCGGGGCUCAACCCCGUCGUGCCGUUGAAACUGGUGUUCUUGAGUGGGCGAGAAGUAUGCGGAAUGCGUGGUGUAGCGGUGAAAUGCAUAGAUAUCACGCAGAACUCCGAUUGCGAAGGCAGCAUACCGGCGCCCAACUGACGCUGAGGCACGAAAGCGUGGGUAUCGAACAGGAUUAGAUACCCGUGUAGUC